ensembl:lncRNA
UUCUGCCUUAAAGAAGAGGUGCCAAUGAAUAUCUCUGUGACUCUAUUAAUAUAUACUUUCUUUCAGCCGUGACCUGGGAGUGUGAAGAGAAUUUAAAGGAGCUGAAUUGUUUCCAUUGGCAUGCUUCUUCCGCAUCCCACUGACCUCCCCUUGCCCAUAGAGUCAAAAUUCAGAACAGAGAACUGACAGACCCUAAUGGAGAACCUAUGCAGAUUGUGAAGAAAUAGAUGGAGGGGAAAAAUUUGUCAACAUAUCUACCCAUCAUCCUCCAAGUUCCCUUUAAUUAUCAAAGAUAAUAGUUGGCAAGGACAGGAAAGAACUCAUCUGAACUCAUCUGAAAAACAGCAAGUAACAUA